ensembl:misc_RNA
AUGACAACACUAGAAAGUGAAGUCUUCUGUUUAUCUGCAGAAUUAGUGCAAAGGACUAUUGGCAAUGCAAGUUUCUCCCCAUAACCCCAUCUGUGUUUUGCAGCUGUAACCUUGAGGGAUCGCCUUUAGGAGCAAGGAGAUGACUUGAUCCGUGUACUCUUUCCAUUCUUAGCCUCU